UACAGGAGGGUGGCUAGCGUUAAUCGGAAUUACUGGGCGUAAAGCGUGCGCAGGCGGUUUUGUAAGACCGAUGUGAAAUCCCCGGGCUUAACCUGGGAACUGCAUUGGUGACUGCAAGGCUUGAGUGUGUCGAGAGGGAGGGUGGAAUUCCGCGUGUAGCAGUGAAAUGCGUAGAUAUGCGGAGGAACACCGAUGGCGAAGGCAGCCUCCUGGGAUAACACUGACGCUCAUGACACGAAGGCGUGGGAGCAAACGAGG
rnacentral:rRNA from 1 species